AAACCAACAGGGAUUGCCCUAGUAACGGCGAGUGAAGCGGCAACAGCUCAAAUUUGAAAUCUGGCUUCGGCCCGAGUUGUAAUUUGUAGAGGAAACUUUUGGUGAGGCACCUUCUGAGUCCCUUGGAACAGGGCGCCAUAGAGGGUGAGAGCCCCGUAUAGUCGGAUGCCGAUCCAAUGUAAAGUUCCUUCGACGAGUCGAGUAGUUUGGGAAUGCUGCUCAAAAUGGGAGGUAAAUUUCUUCUAAAGCUAAAUAUAGGCCAGAGACCGAUAGCGCACAAGUAGAGUGAUCGAAAGAUGAAAAGCACUUUGAAAAGAGGGUUAAAUAGCACGUGAAAUUGUUGAAAGGGAAGCGUUUGUGACCAGACUUGCGCCGUUCCGAUCAUCCGGUGUUCUCACCGGUGCACUCGGGGCGGCUCAGGCCAGCAUCGGUUUUGGUGGGGGGAUAAAGGUCCAGGGAACGUAGCUCCUCCGGGAGUGUUAUAGCCCUGGGCGUAAUGCCCUCGCUGGGACCGAGGUUCGCGCAUCUGCAAGGAUGCUGGCGUAAUGGUCAUCAACGACCCGUCUUGAAACACGGACCAAGGAGUCAAGGUUUUGCGCGAGUGUUUGGGUGUAAAACCCGCACGCGUAAUGAAAGUGAACGUAGGUGAGAGCUUCGGCGCAUCAUCGACCGAUCCUGAUGUAUUCGGAUGGAUUUGAGUAAGAGCGUUAAGCCUUGGACCCGAAAGAUGGUGAACUAUGCUUGGAUAGGGUGAAGCCAGAGGAAACUCUG
rnacentral:rRNA from 1 species